ACGGGUGAGUAAUGUCUGGGAAACUGCCUGAUGGAGGGGGAUAACUACUGGAAACGGUAGCUAAUACCGCAUAACGUCGCAAGACCAAAGAGGGGGACCUUCGGGCCUCUUGCCAUCAGAUGUGCCCAGAUGGGAUUAGCUAGUAGGUGGGGUAACGGCUCACCUAGGCGACGAUCCCUAGCUGGUCUGAGAGGAUGACCAGCCACACUGGAACUGAGACACGGUCCAGACUCCUACGGGAGGCAGCAGUGGGGAAUAUUGCACAAUGGGCGCAAGCCUGAUGCAGCCAUGCCGCGUGUAUGAAGAAGGCCUUCGGGUUGUAAAGUACUUUCAGCGGGGAGGAAGGUGUUGCGGUUAAUAACCACAGCAAUUGACGUUACCCGCAGAAGAAGCACCGGCUAACUCCGUGCCAGCAGCCGCGGUAAUACGGAGGGUGCAAGCGUUAAUCGGAAUUACUGGGCGUAAAGCGCACGCAGGCGGUCUGUCAAGUCGGAUGUGAAAUCCCCGGGCUCAACCUGGGAACUGCAUUCGAAACUGGCAGGCUAGAGUCUUGUAGAGGGGGGUAGAAUUCCAGGUGUA
rnacentral:rRNA from 1 species